CUUCCUGCCAGGACCUGGGCAGCCUCCUUUGGACCGGACCAGGACCAAUCGGUGUCUGAUUUUCAAUAUUGACACAUUGUUACACCAAUGAGAAAAUUUAUGCACCUUUGAGAAACACACACGCAAAGACGAAAAACCCCGAGAAAAGUCUCUUUCUUUUCCGGCCUCAAACAGACAGUUUCUUGAUGAGCUGUGACAUGCCCACUGUGCUGGAGUACGAGUCCGAGCAAGCCUGAACAUGUUAGCCAGCACUCAAGCAGCAGUGGCUACAAGCCCCCACCAGGUCUGGACAAGGUUGGAGCAUGUUGUCAGUUUACACUCCUAGCAAAUUAUGAACAAGACUGCCUUUUGCCAUGAGAGCAAUUUAUGACAUGAACUAUCUCAUAAUAACUUUAGAAGACACAUAAAGAACAGCAGAGAUGAGUUUUAAUAAAGAUAAAGGGAUGAGUUGAGUAAUGUAGUAGUAAAAAUUGCUUCUCAGAAAUGAAACAUUCAAACAUCCAUCUACUGUUUUUGCUGUAUGUUUUCAAGGUGUAUUUAGGAACAAUAAAACAAAUAAAUCUUCUCUUACAAUAAACUCAUUAACUUUUAAGACUAAAAGAUUUUGGGGCCCUUUGGGCUGUUUUAAUCAUUUUUGGACUACUUUCUCUUCCAAUUCUUCUGGAACUGCUGAAUAAGUUUAUAUUGAUAAAAUUGGGAAGCGGGGGGUGGGAUGGUGGUGGUAUUAUAUAUUUAAGAUUCUUCAGCAUAAAUCAGCCCAAGCAUUUGAAGUAAAGUCAUUAUAAAGUCAGCUCUAUUACUUUUAAGUGGAAUGUGUUUUUUCUUCUGACAUCCUAAGAGUUUCAUAUUUUCUGGUGUAUAACAAAGAAACCAAUCCUUGGGAUGACUAAGAGAUGAAAUAGCUUUGGUGAUUCAUCCUAGCUCAAGAAUGAGCAUGUACAAACAUAAUAAAAAAAAAGUAUUUACUCCUUUAGAUUUGGAGAUCUAAUUUACAGCAACAGAAUUAUACCACUCAAGGAAGCCCAUGGAACACACACCAGCAAUACAGACCAGUGACAUCACUGUUGCUACUGAACUGCUAAAGUCUCCUGAGCUGAACAAACAAGCAAAUAAAAGAUAAACCUCUCGAAGGUCUCCUGCACAAACCUGUUUAGCAAAGGAUGUUGAACAGGGCUCCCAUACGGUGGGUAUGUGUGGUUGAGAUACAGCUCAUUGUAACACAUGGCCAAGCUUCAGCUCGCUAUUUUAUGUUAUGAAUUUCACUGAAAACAUCAUCUCAUUAAAGUACAUCGGAGCUCUUGACAAGCUUACAAACGCAAUAGGCAUGCUCGUCUUGAAUCCUUCGUUACCAGGAUCUGCCUUGUGCCAUCCCCAGCAUCCAUCCCUCGGAGGAUACCAUAGCACGGCUCCCUGCUGUCCUCAGCCGGUGUUACCGCCACUCCCCACCCCCCACUCCGCACAGGGUUCUGCAGAACCUUCCCCUCAAUUCGCUGACCACCGCUUGCAGCCCCGCAAUCACAGCCUUGCCUCUCCCGGCACGAAGGAGCUUCACCCCCCCGGGACUGAUCGCGCGCAGAUCCGCCCGUUCCUGCCCAAGCGCAGUCAGAGGGGCACGGGGCGCUUUGUUCCCUCCCCGCGGACUCGCACGGCUAGGACCUCUCCAACCGGACUCCGAACCCGUUCCGUGCGGACUUCAGACCCUCCCCUGUGGACCCCAGCCCCUCUACUGCGAACACAGAGCCCUGCACCCUCCAGGCCUACCCCGGCGCACCCCAGCCCCUCCCUUGCGGCCACCGCUCCGCCGGGCCCCGCUCCCGGCCCGGUGCGGCGUGGAGCACAGUGAGCUGGGACAGCGCCUCCCGGCGGGGCAGCCCAGCGCAGCUACCGGGC